rnacentral:lncRNA from 1 species
AGGAGCGGCGAAUUUUUGGGGGGGUGGGUGGGGGGCGCCACUCACAGCCCCAGGUGCUGCUGGAGGUGGGAGCCGCGGCGCCUCCUGGACACAGGCGGGGUAGUGGUUCCGAGUCACCGCAGCGGGAGACCUGGGUGGGGGAGGGAAGAAGCCGGAGCCGCCGCAAGCCACACGAAUUUUUACUUGUUCCUGCAAAGCUGCUGGAGCUCAGAAGCUGAUUCUAUCACAUUGUAAGAUGCCUUUGGAUAAUUCUACAGUCCUCUUAAAUGAAUCUUUAGAACUUGGCAAGUCUCACUAGAUACCUUCAAUCAUCAUUUUGAGCUCAAAGAAUUCUGAGACUUAUGGUUGGUCAUAUAGAAGAGUACCUUGAACCUAUAGUUUCCUGAAGAAUCAGUUUAAAAGAUCCAAGGAGUACAAAAGGAGAAGUACAAAUGUCUACUACAAGACGAAAACGUAGUAUGUUAUGUUGUUUACCG